rnacentral:rRNA from 1 species
GCAGUCGAACGGCAGCGCGGGGAGCUUGCUCCCUGGCGGCGAGUGGCGGACGGGUGAGUAACGCGUGGGAAUCUGCCCAGUAGUGGGGGACAACCCGGGGAAACUCGGGCUAAUACCGCAUACGCUCUACGGAGGAAAGCGGGGGAUCUUCGGACCUCGCGCUAUUGGAUGAGCCCGCGUCGGAUUAGCUAGUUGGUGAGGUAAUAGCUCACCAAGGCGACGAUCCGUAACUGGUCUGAGAGGACGAUCAGUCACACCGGAACUGAGACACGGUCCGGACUCCUACGGGAGGCAGCAGUGGGGAAUAUUGGACAAUGGGCGAAAGCCUGAUCCAGCAAUGCCGCGUGUGUGAAGAAGGCCUGCGGGUUGUAAAGCACUUUCAGCAGGGAAGAAAAGCGCGGGGAUAAUACCCCCGUGUCUUGACGUUACCUGCAGAAGAAGCACCGGCUAACUCCGUGCCAGCAGCCGCGGUAAUACGGAGGGUGCGAGCGUUAAUCGGAAUUACUGGGCGUAAAGCGCGCGUAGGCGGCUUGGUCAGUCGGAUGUGAAAGCCCCGGGCUCAACCUGGGAAUUGCAUUCGAUACUGCCGAGCUCGAGUAUGGGAGAGGGAAGUGGAAUUUCCGGUGUAGCGGUGAAAUGCGUAGAUAUCGGAAGGAACACCAGUGGCGAAGGCGACUUCCUGGCCCAAUACUGACGCUGAGGUGCGAAAGCGUGGGGAGCAAACAGGAUUAGAUACCCUG